AUGCAGGCAACAUGGUAUCAACCGCUGGCCUUCUCGAAAAAUCAAGAAAGUUAAUCACUCGUUGAGGAAACUCCAACUUGUAGUUAACUCCAUCCAUGGUGCAGAGGGUCUCAUUCAGAUCGAUUCCUUCUACAAAAGCUUCCCAGAAUUGAACUCACCAAAUUUUUCAGGGAAAGGUCCUUUUUCAUUACCCAAUAUUAGUGAAAAUUCCAACAAAGUAAACCCCCAACCUGAGAGUGGCCUGCUCAGCCCCAAAGACUCAGAUUCAAAUUCUCAGUCCUCUUCGUGCAGUCAGAAUUCUGGUUCAACCAUCUACUGUUCCAAUGAAGAAAAGAACCUUGCCACCACCAACGGCUUGAACACUGGAUCUUCUUUAGCAAUAGAAGACCCUGUCCUGGCACUGAAAACUUAUAGCAAAGCAGAACUGCAUUCCUUGAAUCAGGAAGAACCAAAGAUCCCUACAAGCUCGCAAAGCCCUAAAACAUUACAUGGGAAUCAACGUUCCCACACUUUACCACACUUACCAAAAAGUACUGACCAUGGUUUACGAGAUGGGGUGAUCUUCAGAGUCAAAGCCACUUUUGGAGAAGAAAAUGUAAGAUUCAGCUUCCUGCCGAAUUGGGGUUUCAGGGACUUGCAGCAAGAGAUUGCUAAGCGUUUCAGAAUAGACAAUUUCAGCAGAAUUGAUCUCAAGUAUUUGGACAUUGAUCAUGAGCCCGUUCUGUUGACCUGUGAUGCUGAUCUUGAGGAGUGU
rnacentral:misc_RNA from 1 species